rnacentral:rRNA from 1 species
AACGUAGGAGACAAACGUUAUCCGGAGUUACUGGGCGUAAAGGGCGUGCAGGCGGUUUGUUAAGUGCAGGGUGAAAGCUCCCGGCUCAACUGGGAGAGGUCCUUGCAUACUGGCAAACUCGAGGGAGGCAGAGGAAAGUGGAAUUCCCGGUGUAGUGGUGAUAUGCGUAGAUAUCGGGAGGAACACCUGUGGCGAAGGCGGCUUUCUGGGCCUUACCUGACGCUGAGACGCGAAAGCGUGGGGAGCGAACCGG